AACUUUCGGCAAUGGAUCACUUGGUUCUGGCAUCGAUGAAGAACGCAGCGAAAUGCGAUAAGUAAUGUGAAUUGCGGAAUUCAGUGAACCAUCGAAUCUUUGAACGCACAUUGCGCCCGCUAGUACUCUAGCGGGCAUGCCUGUUCGAGCGUCAUUUCAACCCUCAAGCACUGCUUGGUGUUGGGGCCCUACGGCUGCCGUAGGCCCUGAAAGGAAGUGGCGGGCUCGCUACAACUCCGAGCGUAGUAAUUCGUUUUCUCGCUACGGGCGUUGCGGCGGUGCUCCUGCCGUUAAAGACCCCAUCUUUAACCAAAGGUUGACCUCGGAUCAGGUAGGAAUACCCGCUGAACUUAAGCAUAUCAAUAAGCGGAGGCU
rnacentral:misc_RNA from 1 species